ACGGGAGGCAGCAGUGAGGAAUAUUGGUCAAUGGACGGAAGUCUGAACCAGCCAAGUCGCGUGCGGGAUGAAGGCCCUACGGGUCGUAAACCGCUUUUGUACGGGGAUAAAGUCACCCACGUGUGGGUGUUUGUAGGUACCGUAAGAAUAAGGAUCGGCUAACUCCGUGCCAGCAGCCGCGGUAAUACGGAGGAUCCGAGCGUUAUCCGGAUUUAUUGGGUUUAAAGGGUGCGCAGGCGGCACGUUAAGUCAGCGGUGAAAUGUCGGGGCUCAACCCGGGCACUGCCGUUGAAACUGGCGAGCUUGAGUACGGAUGAAGUCGGCGGAAUGUGAUGUGUAGCGGUGAAAUGCUUAGAUAUGUCACAGAACACCGAUUGCGAAGGCAGCUGACUAAUCCGCAACUGACGCUCAGGCACGAAAGCGUGGGGAUCGAACAGGAUUAGAUACCCUGGUA
rnacentral:rRNA from 1 species